rnacentral:rRNA from 1 species
GAUGAACGCUGGCGGCGUGCCUAAUACAUGCAAGUCGAGCGAACAGACGAGGAGCUUGCUCCUCUGACGUUAGCGGCGGACGGGUGAGUAACACGUGGAUAACCUACCUAUAAGACUGGGAUAACUUCGGGAAACCGGAGCUAAUACCGGAUAAUAUAUUGAACCGCAUGGUUCAAUAGUGAAAGACGGUUUUGCUGUCACUUAUAGAUGGAUCCGCGCCGCAUUAGCCAGUUGGUAAGGUAACGGCCUACCAAGGCAACGAUGCGUAGCCGACCUGAGAGGGUGAUCGGCCACACUGGAACUGAGACACGGUCCAGACUCCUACGGGAGGCAGCAGUAGGGAAUCUUCCGCAAUGGGCGAAAGCCUGACGGAGCAACGCCGCGUGAGUGAUGAAGGUCUUCGGAUCGUAAAACUCUGUUAUUAGGGAAGAACAAAUGUGUAAGUAACUAUGCACGUCUUGACGGUACCUAAUCAGAAAGCCACGGCUAACUACGUG